AACGGCACGUAACGCCGACUGGCGCCAUGAACACACCGAGAUAAAUAUUUCAUCGCUUGUUAAACUACCUGCACGACACCUCAGCCGCGUGAUGAUGCUUCUCAGCCAAGUUCUCCAUAUCUGGGUUCUCUUUGCUUGACUUCACUCUCACACACACACACACACACACACACACACACACACACACACACACACACACACUUUUGCUGCUGUCCCAUGAUGACCUCAGUGGAGAUGAAUGAAGGGUUUUCCCCACACGCAGGAACAUCAGGAAUACUCCUCUGUCCAUCAGGACGGAUGGAUGCUGAUAAAACCGCUGAGAGUUUGGAGACGCCGGAUUGCGAGACGCCGAGGUGCAAGCUUUCCAAUGGUUACGUGGAGGUGCUGCUGGAUAUUAGCGAUGAAAUCUCUGUAAAAGAGCAGGAAGCUUACAAGAUUCCCGACCAGACAGGCUGGGAUGACGCUAUCCAGGGUUGGGGUCGGUGUUCCCCUUUUUCCUGCCUGUUUAUCGCACAACGAAAGAGCAAGAAGCUCAAACCGGAGAUCUCAGCCUCCCACUGUGUCCUUUGCACCGAUCUGAAAGACCUAAAGCUCUCGGAGAACCUUGUUCCCAGCCAUGCUGCUUCAGAAGCGCCCUAUGAGAUAUCUGAAGAGCCUUUGAGAAGCAGCGUUCCUCCACCUCUGGAACACCUAAACAGAACCCCAAGCACCAUUACUUCUACCUUAUCCUCAGAAGAAGAACCGUCCGAGUUCACUUUUAAGGAGACGAGCAUCACGAAAGACCUGCUUGGAAAUAAACUGCUGUUUGGGCCUGAACAGUACACACCUGACAAAAUUCGACCUCACCCACCUCGACCGGAUGCUCCGUGCCUGUUCCUGAAAGAUAGAAAUGUAGGAAAAGUGGCACUGCUUGGUCGAGUUAUGGUACUGCCACCGGUAGAAGUGCCAACAAAUCCAAAUGUUAAUCCAAAGAGCUUGAAUUGUUUAAAGAGGAGAGAAGAUAGCACCACAAGACCAGUUUUGGUUAGUGAGAAAACUGAUGGAGCUCAAGAAAAAGCGGUGGUUAUUUCUUAUUCCAGCCCAGUUGUAGGCACCUCCCAGGGAUCUCUUAUGUCCAAGCAAGGACCAACGCACUGCCAGUAUCACUUACUAUCUGCUUUAAGCAUCUCCAGAAAGUAUCAGAUUCCCAUCAACACCUUGGCAAAGACUCAACAUAGUGCCACCGCUCUCCUGGAACGAAAUCUCAGGCAGGAAGAGCUGAUCAGGUCACCUCUAAGGCACAACUCUGGGCACAGAUCGCGGUUAGGCCUCAAGGAUAAAAGUCUGAGAAGGGCAGAACCUGAGCUUCCGAUGCUUCUGGGCACCAGGGUCCAGAUUCCAGUGUCCACUCAGCGAUUACUGUAGCUGCUCCUCGUCGCCAUCCAGUGGACAUUAAAGUUGACUACAUGCUGAAAUGACGAUGUAUAUUCUCCUACUGGAAAUAACUUUUGCGCAUCGUUACUUCCGAACAGGCAUUUAACGUGUUCGGGUUUUACAGAUGAUCCGUUUUUAUAUCAGAAGCAACAACAAGAAGAAAAAAAAUGCUCAAAAUGUUUACAUUCAAUGCUGUGGAACGUCCACGAAACAGCAGGAGGAAGUGUGUGGACAGAGGACCGAACGGAGAGAUACUUUACAUGCAGAAGCACAUCGAAGGGUAAAACUGCGACACAAGCCUUCUGAAAGUACUGCCAAGAGGAAACUUGUCGAAACUGCAGUCAUAAACACACUCAUUCGGUGCAGAUCAGGUUUUUCAGGUCUUUCCGGAUUUCUUCUGACCAGGGCUGUUCAGGGUUUCCUUUAGCCCCUCACUUCCCCACUGAUAAACCAGGUGACUAAAUUAGACACGUCCAUUGUUGCGUGAACUCUUUGACGCUGCAUACGGAGUAUCGGGAUUAUAUCUGGAGAAGGAUUACACACAAACUGAAUUUAAGACACGGAGGGGAAAAAGAUUUCAAUCUGAAACCGCUUCAGGCGGUCCGAGACAUAUUUAUAUUCAUAUACACGCCUGACCGAUUAUCCAAACGGCCAAUCAUGUGUGAGCAGCAUAAUGCAUAAAGUCAUGCAUCUACACACCAUGAGCUUCAGCUAAUCUUCUCUAGAUUUUAUACAGAAUAGUGCGAACGACUGAGCCGUCAGAAAGGCUGCUCAAACCACGACGAGGGGAACCUGAUGAUUUCGUAGACCAUAUCCACCUCACGCUUGUGUGUUCGGAGGUGCUUUUCUGCUCAGCACGUUGGUAAAGAGCGGUUAUUUGAGUUACCGUAGCCUUCUUGUCAGCUCGAACCAGUCUGGUCGUUCUCAACAACCAGGCUGGAUGGAUGUUUUUUGUUUUUCACACCAUUCUGUGUAAAAAAAAUAAAUAAAUAAAAAACCCCAAACAAAUCCAAAAAAAACUAAACAGAAACCAGCUUUUCUGGGACCAAAAACCAUGUCAAUGAGAUCUCAUGUUUGAUACGAACAUCAGCUCCUUGACCUGUAUCUGUGUGAUUUUAUGAUCAUGAUUCGUUAUUGGUCACAUAUACAUUACAGCACAGUGAAAUUCUUUUCAUCACAUACCCCAGCAUGUUAGGAAGUUGGGGUUAGAGUGCAGGGUCAGCCAUGAUACAGCGCCCCCCCCGCGGAGCAGAGAGGGUUAAGGGUAAAGGUUAAGGGUAGCCUGGCAGUGCCGGGGCUUGAACCCUCGAGCUUCUGAUCAGUAACCCAGAGCCUUAACCGCCAAGCCACCACUGCCCCACGCUGAUGUCACAUGAUCAACUGGUUGUCACAUGAUGUGACAUGAUGAUCAUCAUGUCACAUGAUGAUCCAAACCAGGGUUUAACUGAAACUCUUCAGCAUCAAUCAGGACACUUUAUAUCAAUUGUGUUGAAUUCUGGAUUCUGAUUGGUCAGAAGGUGCUGAUUAGCCUUCUAUAAAAGCAGCUUGUUCUAAUGCGUUAUCGUUUCUAUAGUAACAACUACAAGAAUUUCUGUAAUGAUUUCUAUCGUUGUUGUUGUUUUCAGCAGGGAUGCAACGUUUUGAUACAAACAUAAUCACAAUGAUAAAUAGAACGGAAUAUGCAAAUUCGCCCAUGACGUCACCUGGUGAUUAUUAGACACUUUUUGAGCAAGAAUUGGCCCUUUCCCCUGAAAGUUGUUGACAACAAUAGUGGGAGAGUGUCAGCGUUAGCCGGCUAGCUUCUAGGUCUAGCUGGCGAAGUCCGGCCUGUCGGUUAAAUCUUUCUCAAAAACAUAUAUAUCUAUUUAAAUUAAAAACGAAGACGAAAAACAGGCCUCGAGCGUGUGUUUUGGUUGUGAGCGGGUGUAAGUACCUGGACU